rnacentral:lncRNA from 1 species
UAUGAUUAAUGCCUCUACUAUCAAUAAGUCAUGCAUCCUUCUAAUUAAGUAUGUUCUGACAAGCAUAAAAUAGUUGACCUUCUUCAUUUAUAGUCUCAGAGACACUUGCUUGCUGCCUUUUAAAUUCGCAUUCGUGCUCCAUGUGACCGAAUUUUUUGCAGAACCUACACUGUAACUUUCUUUUAUGCCAAUAAUUCUUUUCUUCAUGAU